UUAUUCACUUACAAAAAUGAAUAACAUGGAAAUGUGUUUUGUGUCAUAAUAUAGGUAUAACCCAGAAAAAAAUGAUGGAAACCUUUUUUGCUGUUUCUGGGUACUUCUGGCUCUGCUUACUUCACCUUGUAUCAGUUCAUUCUUGAUGUUGACAUUCCAGAACUUCUCAGCCCUCCCUUGUCCAGAAGGUCAUGGGAUACCUUGGAAACUGGCAUCAAUCCUCAAGCAGAAGGGGAAGCUCCAAAGGAUCUGGGUAACUGUGUGACCUGGGCCAGUCCAAACCAGGUGCUCAGCCCAUAUCUCAAAUGGAGGUAAGAGGCAAGAGAAUCAUAGGAUGCUAGAGCUGGAAGGAACCUUAGAACAUAGCAUAGU
rnacentral:lncRNA from 1 species